rnacentral:rRNA from 1 species
UUAAAUUGAAGAGUUUGAUCAUGGCUCAGAUUGAACGCUGGCGGCAGGCCUAACACAUGCAAGUCGAACGGUAACAGGAAGCAGCUUGCUGUUUUGCUGACGAGUGGCGGACGGGUGAG